rnacentral:rRNA from 1 species
GACGAACGCUGGCGGCAUGCCUAAUACAUGCAAGUCGAGCGGACAGAAGGGAGCUUGCUCCCGAAAGUCAGCGGCGGACGGGUGAGUAACACGUGGGCAACCUGCCCCUUAGAUUGGGAUAACUUCGGGAAACCGAAGCUAAUACCGAAUAAUACAAGGAACCUCCUGGUUCUCUGUUGAAAGAUGGCCUUUGUGCUGUCACUAAGGGAUGGGCCCGCGGCGCAUUAGCUAGUUGGAAAGGUAACGGCUUACCAAGGCGACGAUGCGUAGCCGACCUGAGAGGGUGAUCGGCCACACUGGGACUGAGACACGGCCCAGACUCCUACGGGAGGCAGCAGUAGGGAAUCUUCCGCAAUGGACGAAAGUCUGACGGAGCAAUGCCGCGUGAGUGAGGAAGGCCUUCGGGUCGUAAAGCUCUGUUGUGAGGGAAGAACAAGUACCGGCGUAACUACCGGUACCGUGGCGGUACCUCACCAGAAAGCCACGGCUAACUACGUGCCAGCCGCCGCCGUAA